AAAACAAUCCACAUUCUACACAACUUUUUUACUUUCUCAUCAUGCCUCUUCUCUUUAUCAUUAGUAUAUAUCUAUGCUUCUAAUAUGAAACCCACUAAUUUUUCAUAUGAAUUGCUAAAAGUUGAUGUGAAAAAUAAGUUCAUGCUUCUCCUAAAUAUUUGUUUCAUGUGAAAUCUUUGCAUAUUAAUAAUACAUUUUAUAUUUUAUUGCAGAUAUCAAAUCUCUCAAUGUCUUAAGAUUCGAGAAAAACGCAUAGCAAAGUGUAUUCUCCACUUUUCAGGUGUUGAAUUUGAUGCUCAAAAUGGUUUCAAAGUUCUUUUGAAAUAUCAAUAUAAUUGGCUUAUCUUGAUGAAGCACAAGGCAGAAGAAGGUAAAUCAUGGAGAAAAAGGAACACCAGUGGUUGAAGUAAGGAGAAAAAGGAACAACGGCAUAAACUGAGAAUGAUUUCAAGCAUUCAAAAUUCAAAUAUCUCAUUGAGAAUGUUGAUCUGAUAAAUUGCUGAGUGAAAACCAUCGAAAAAGAAGAAAGAAUUCCACCUUUAUUAAUAUAUUAGGGGUUUACAUUGCAUAUGAUGCAAGUCGCUUUUCUGGGAGCUAAUGGCUAUGGCUAUAGCUUCAAGAAUGCUUACAUUUAAAUAUGUUAAAGAAGUCAAAGAUGAAAAGAAGAAAUGAGCAUAAUCAAAGGCCAUAUAUCAUGAAAAAGAUGCGUACUUUGACAAAGGAUUGCAGUAAGGUGGAUUGUUUUCCCCUCUGAAACGAUAAAUUCACCCAUUAUAUCCAGCUAAUAGCUUAAUGUUAGAAAUUACCAGAAGUACCACCAUUAGAUUAGAAAAAAGUUCACGGCUUCUAAAACAACAAAUAGUAGUGGAUUGCAACAUCUACUCCCAUGACGCUAAUUUUGGUACCCACGGAAUGCACGGCAUUAUCAAAAUAUAUAUUAAUUAAGUCAACUUAUGUUUUCGCUUUUUACAA